CGUGUAGGCGGUGCGUUAAGUUGGACGUGAAAUCUCCCGGCCUAACUGGGAGACGCCGUGCAAUACUGGUGCACUUGAGGGCAGGAGAGGGAAGUGGAAUUCCCGGUGUAGCGGUGGAAUGCGUAGAUAUCGGGAGGAACACCCGUGGCGAAGGCGGCUUCCUGGCCUGUUCCUGACGCUGAGACGCGAAAGCUAGGGGAGCGAACGG
rnacentral:rRNA from 1 species